UACGUAGGGGGCAAGCGUUGUCCGGAAUUAUUGGGCGUAAAGCGCGCGCAGGUGGUUUCUUAAGUCUGAUGUGAAAGCCCACGGCUCAACCGUGGAGGGUCAUUGGAAACUGGGGAACUUGAGUGCAGGAGAGAAGAGUGGAAUUCCACGUGUAGCGGUGAAAUGCGUAGAGAUCCGGAGGAACACCGAAGGCGAAGGCAGUGUCCUGGCGAGUGACUGACGCUGAGGUGCGAAAGCCAGGGGAGCGAACGGG
rnacentral:rRNA from 1 species